GUCCAACAUGAUGUAUGCAGGUGAUGCACAACAGUGAUUUCCCAAAAUGUAAAACUAAAAGAACAUAACUGGAACUUUGAAUUCACAACAAAUGUCACUUUAGAGAAUAACCGAGUGUGUGUAUAACGCUUCUACCUCUGCUAACACAAAAACAUAUGAUCAAUUCCUAGAUUGAUAAAUGUUGCGUGGCAAGCUAGUAAAACUUAAAAUGAGGACUUGAAGUUGAGUUCACCAUAUGUGGAGUGUGCAAUAAUUUUAGAAGUAAUUAUAGAAUUUUUAUGAAAAAUGCU